rnacentral:rRNA from 1 species
CGCUGGCGGCGUGCCUAACACAUGCAAGUCAACUUGACUGAAGGAGCAAUCUGACAGUAGAGUGGCGCAAGGGUGCGUAACGCGUAAGUAACUUGCCCAAGGUAGGAAUAACGUCGAGAAAUCGGCGCUAAUACCUCAUAAUGCAGCGGAUCCGCAUGGAUAUGUUGUUAAAGGUUUACCGCCUUGGGAUAGGCUUGCGUCUGAUUAGCUAGUUGGUGUGGUAACGGCACACCAAGGCUACGAUCAGUAACUGGUCUGAGAGGAUGAUCAGUCACACUGGAACUGAGACACGGUCCAGACUCCUACGGGAGGCAGCAGUGAGGAAUAUUGGGCAAUGCUCGAAAGAGUGACCCAGCAACGCCGCGUGGAGGAUGAAGGUAUUCUAUAUCGUAAACUCCUGUGAGAGCAGACGAAAGACAGAUUAUUAAUCUGGAUGACUGUAUGCUCAGAGGAAGCCCCGGCUAACUACGUG